rnacentral:ncRNA from 1 species
UGUGGCUUAAUUUGACUCAACACAGGAAACCUCACCCAGCCUGGACACAGACAGGAUUGACAGAUUGAUAGCUCUUUCUCAAUUGCGUGGAUGGUGGUCCAUGGCCAUUCUUAGUUGUUGGAGCGAUUUGUCUGGUUAAUUUCAAUAAUGCAAAUUAUAGCACCAUAGGCAUUAAAAGAAACACUCUACUGUUGAGGAAUUCUAUCUGAACAAUUAGACCACCUCUAGGCCAUGUGACCUUGGUCCUAUUGGUUAACUUCAUUGUAACUCAAGUGUUCUCAAAUGUGGGGGUGAUUAUAGAGAAGGCUGUGCAAGGCUAUUGUGAAGAUUAAAUGAAUUGCUGCACAUA